rnacentral:rRNA from 1 species
CAGAGGGUGCAAGCGUUAAUCGGAAUUACUGGGCGUAAAGCGCGCGUAGGUGGUUCGUUAAGUUGAAUGUGAAAGCCCCGGGCGUCAACCUGGGAACGUGCAUACCAAACUAGGCGAGCUAGAGUAGGGCGAGAGGGUGGUGGAAUUUCCUGUGUAGCGGUGAAAUGCGUAGAUAUAGGAAGGAACACCAGUGGCGAAGGCGACCACCUGGGCUCAUACUGACACUGAGGUGCGAAAGCGUGGGGGAGCAAACAGGAUU